CCUACGGGAGGCAGCAGUGAGGAAUAUUGGUCAAUGGACGCAAGUCUGAACCAGCCAUGCCGCGUGCAGGAAGACGGCUCUAUGAGUUGUAAACUGCUUUUGUACGAGGGUAAACGCAGAUACGCGUAUCUGUCUGAAAGUAUCGUACGAAUAAGGAUCGGCUAACUCCGUGCCAGCAGCCGCGGAAAUAUGGAGGAUUCAAGCGUUAUCCGGAUUUAUUGGGUUUAAAGGGUGCGUAGGCGGUCGGAUAAGUUAGAGGUGAAAUCCCGAGGUUCAACUUCGGAAUUGCCUCUGAUACUGUUCGGCGAGAGAGUAGUUGCGGUAGGCGGAAUGUAGGGUGUAGCGGUGAAAUGCUUAGAGAUCAUACAGCAGACCGAUUGCGAAGGCAGCUUACCAAGCUACUUCUGACGUUGAGGCACGAAAGCGUGGGGAGCAAACAGGAUUAGAUACCCUGGUAGUC
rnacentral:rRNA from 1 species